rnacentral:rRNA from 1 species
UCUAAGGGUGGCAGCAGUGGGGAAUAUUGCACAAUGGGGGAAACCCUGAUGCAGCGACUCCGCGUGAGCGAUGAAGUAUUUCGGUAUGUAAAGCUCUAUCAGCAGGGAAGAAGAUGACGGUACCUGACUCAGAAGCCCCGGCUAACUACGUGCCAGCAGCCGCGGUAAUACGUAGGGGGCAAGCUAUAUCCGGAUUUACUGGGUUUAAAGGGGGCGUAGACGGCGAUGCACGCCAGAUGUGAAAGCCCGGGGCUCAACCCCGGGACUGCAUUUGGAACUGUGUGGCUGGAGUGUCGGAGAGGCAGGCGGAAUUCCUAGUGUAGCGGUGAAAUGCGUAGAUAUUAGGAGGAACACCAGUGGCGAAGGCGGCCUGCUGGACGAUGACUGACGUUGAGGCUCGAAAGCGUGGGGAGCAAACAGGAUUAGAUACCCUGGUAGUC